GGGCAUCGUUUCCACGCAUCGACCGCACUACGUUUCAUCACAUAUCCUACGAGAUUAUCCAACAGCCAGCAUGCGUCAGGAUUACACGUUUGAACAACACAGUAGCAUCCCACCACAGAGAUCUCUCCUUCUCAAGCUCUGAAGUUGCGGUCCGAUAGCGCUCCAAAGGCCGUAUACACAUACCCACAGAGAAACAGAAGAGAGAGAGAGAAUAAAAAAAGGAGAGAUAAAUGGAAGGAAACAGGAUAGUGGGUGUGGCGGUGGAUUUCUCGACGUGCAGCAGGAAAGCUCUAAAAUGGGCGGUGGAUAACCUGGUCCGCAACGGUGAUCACCUUAUUCUCGUUACCAUACGCCCCGAAGGGAACUAUGAGGAGGGAGAGAUGCAACUCUGGGAAGUCAGCGGUUCCCCUUUAAUCCCUCUACAUGAGUUUUCUGAUCCCGUGAUUAUGAAGAAGUAUGGAGUGAACCCUGAUCCAGAAACCCUGGACAUUGCGAACGCUGCUGCCAACCAGAAACAGGUUUGGCAUAUUUGUCUUCGAAUUCAUGAAUUAAAUCAGGUUUCUUGAUAGUAUUUUUCGUGUUUAAACCAAACCUUUGCGAGAUAUUUGCAGGUUGUUGUGGUUAUGAAGAUCUUCUGGGGUGAUCCUCGCGAGAAGAUAUGUGAAGCUAUCGAUAAGGUCCCUUUGAGCUGCCUUGUUAUAGGAAACAGAGGGCUUGGCAAAAUUAAGAGGGCUAUAAUGGGCAGCGUAAGCAACUAUGUGGUGAAUAACGGAACCUGCCCUGUUACAGUUGUGAAGCAGACCGACCAUUAAAGGUAGGUCUUUUACUCUGUUACUCCACGAGGAAUAAGGCAUAUAGGAUCUGUUUUGCUGAACGGAAUCCUAUCUUCCGUAGGAUCUACCCUACAAAUAAUUGUGUUGCUUGCAACUCUCUGUCAAAUUGGACAAGUUUCCUAGUAUGGAUAUUGAUGAAGUUAGCAUAAGUGAGCACUUACAAUGUAAUCCACUCGUUUUCGCAACGAGAUUAAUGGUUCUAGGUGUAAUCAUUCCUGCAGAUUCUAAUAUUGCUAAAAUGCUGUUUAAUUUAGCAUUUUAGAAUUAUCUAUUUACAGCUAUCCGUUAGUUUUCACUCUCUCUUUUAAAUAUUGAGAAAGGAAUUGUAGUGACGAGAUUUAAUC
rnacentral:misc_RNA from 1 species